GGUAUUUAUUGAAUUUUUUUGUAUAUAAACGACCGGUUAGGUCCAGCUUGGAAUUGGUGGUUUAAUUCAGUUCGGAAUUGUCGAUUCACAGUUCCUAAAAAAUAUAAACCUGAAUCAAAUCGCAGAAAAGUGGUUUCGGUCUGAUUCGAAGUCGGUUCUAGUUUUGACCGGUUCGAUCCGAUUUUGACCGAACCAGUUCUGGCAUGAUCGUGGCCACCCCUACUGGCCAGUAUCUGGUCUUGUCUUUAUAGCCUGUCAAGAUAAUAGCUAAGUUAUCUGCAAAUGCAAGUGAUGGUUGUGUUUUUACAGCUGAUCUUUGAUCUGCGUAUUUACAUGCUAUUGAUUUGUUUGUUUUGGAUGAAAACAUUGAUACUUAGUUUCUUGAUCAUUAGGAGUUGGGUGCUGUAUUGCAUUUCUGUGAUCGUAUUCAAGAAAACAUUAAUCUGUUUUUCCUAGCCUGGGCAAUUAUGUCUCAUGAUUAAUUAUGCUUUAUAGUUAUAUUAUGGAGUGGCAUUCUGACAAUGAAACAUUAUCUUGCCUUAUCU
rnacentral:misc_RNA from 1 species